rnacentral:rRNA from 1 species
GAUGAACGCUGGCGGCGUGCCUAAUACAUGCAAGUCGAGCGAAUGGAUUAAGAGCUUGCUCUUAUGAAGUUAGCGGCGGACGGGUGAGUAACACGUGGGUAACCUGCCCAUAAGACUGGGAUAACUCCGGGAAACCGGGGCUAAUACCGGAUAACAUUUUGAACCGCAUGGUUCGAAAUUGAAAGGCGGCUUCGGCUGUCACUUAUGGAUGGACCCGCGUCGCAUUAGCUAGUUGGUGAGGUAACGGCUCACCAAGGCAACGAUGCGUAGCCGACCGGAGAGGGUGAGCGGCCACACUGGGACUAAGACACGGCCCAGACUCCUACGGGAGGCAGCAGGAGGGAAUCUUCCGCAAUGGACGAAAGUCUGACGGAGCAACGCCGCGUGAGUGAUGAAGGCUUUCGGGUCGUAAAACUCUGUUGUUAGGGAAGAACAAGUGCUAGUUGAAUAAGCUGGCACCUUGACGGUACCUAACCAGAAAGCCACGGCUAACUACGUGCCAGCCACCGCCGUAA